rnacentral:siRNA from 1 species
GGAGCUGAAAACAAAUAAAACGGC